CAGGGCUUGGCUGCGUCUACAAGUGGGAGGUGAUCAGCAUGAGGAGCUAGAUGGCCAUGGAACAAUCAGGGCUCACUCAAGCUCAGCCUACCUUGGAAGCAGUAUGUGUCAGUAAGAGGAACCAGAAGUCAACCCAAUCCAUCUUCCAGCUGAAGCCUUUUCUAGACCUUUGCUUGUGAUGGGAACCAACUUGCUUAUUGGAAUACGGACCACCAGGCUCUAAAACAGUUCCUUCCCAACCUGGGUCCCCAGCAGAGUCCCAAGACCCACAGAAAUCUUCAAAGUUGGAAGAGAUGGAAACAAGGAAGCACACUGGUUACAUUACUGCUGGCAACCAUUUUGUAAACACAUGGGGAAGCUGCUUUCAGCUGAAGUUUGGAGGCGGCUCUGAACUUCGGAAGUGUAACAAGGAAGAUUCCAGCAGAACCACACGGGGCAGCCUCAGGAGGAGACAUUGGGUGGAAAGCAGCUCUGAGAAUCGACUCCAGGAAAUGACCCUGCUGGAGGGUUACUUGAUUACCCGAUCGGUUUAGAACAAGGAUGUAACUUUUUUAAAUCCUUCA
rnacentral:lncRNA from 12 species